rnacentral:lncRNA from 1 species
AGAUCAUCAAUUUUUAACAUAGACCUAGCAUAAUUUUAGCAUUACCUAGCUCAAAUAUAACAUGAUUUUUAAGCAUCAAUCAAAUAACUUAGGUCUACCAUCAUUGACAGUAAACCGAAGAUGAUUUGGGUUUGAGGUUGUUAUUAUUGAGAAUUACUAUCAAGGUGUAACCACUUUCUAAUGUUUUAAGGUCUACUCACAUUUAUGCAAAUAGAAUACUCACUCAAUGUAUGUUCAUGUUUUUUCCUUGUGAAUCGAAUAGUUUAUCAGCCAAAUGGACAAGCACCGAUAUCUUCUACGGACAAGUCACUCACAAGCAAUGAUGUACAACAAUUCACGAAACCGAGACGGCUAAGCACAGAUGAAAUUCCUCAUAUUGUCAAUGAUUUCAGACUUGCUGCAAGAAAUGCUAUUGAAGCUGGUAAGUUUACAGGUUUUUACAAAUUUUGUCUAAAAUUGAAAAAUGCCAUAGUACAAUAUUGAUAUUUUUUCAGAAACAUGACUAUUUGUUGCUUUAAAGCACAAGGACAUUUUUCAAAUCUCCUAACAUAAUCAAUGUGGUGCAAAUUGAAGGUUUUGAUGGAGUUGAAAUCCAUGGAGCUCAUGGCUACCUACUUGAACAAUUCAUGAAAGAUAAAGUGAAUGACAGAACAGAUGAAUACGGUGGAUCCCUCGAGAAUCGUUGUCGAUUUCCUUUGGAAGUUGUUGAAGCAGUUGUGAAUGAGAUAGGAGCAGAUAAAGUUGGAAUUAGACUAUCACCUUUUGCAGAAUAUGCAGAAAGCGGAGACUCCAAUCCCAAUGAAUUGGGACUUCAUAUGGUUAAUGCCCUCAAUAAGUACAAUAUUCUUUACUGUCACAUGGUGGAACCAAGAAUAAAAUCAGCUUCUGAAACGAUUGAAAGCCCUUACAGUCUGGUGCCAAUGAGAAAGGCUUUCAAUGGCUCUUUCAUGGCUGCAGGAGGCUAUGACAGACAAGACGGGAUCGAUGCUAUAGCUGAAAACAAGGCAGAUCUUGUAGUUUAUGGUCGUUUGUUCUUAGCAAAUCCAGAUUUGCCAAAGAGAUUUGCACUUAAUGCUCCUCUCAACAAGUAUAAUAGGGAGACAUUCUACAUUUCUGAUCCGGUUGUUGGUUACACUGACUAUCCCUUUCUUGAAUGAAGAAAACAAUGUUGUAUUGCAGCAUCCAAGGGUGGACCUCCAUAUUAAUAAGUUGUUUUUCUUCUUAUACAUUGGUUUUGCAGUGAAUUUGGUCACUUAAUUAAGAAUUUUGUUAAUUAUAGACAUAGUUAUAUUUUUUAUUCAUUCUUCUCAUACUAGCUUCUCUGCUAGGACACACAGUGUGUAGAACCAUUAUGUACCUGAUUUUUGUAAUACCAUUUGAGCUUUGUGUUAAUGAAAAGGAUUGUUGUAGUAACCAAAUUUUUUUAAUUGCUAUGCUAUGGUAACUACCGUGAUACUAAGAAUUGACAUUGUUAUUGAUUUUGAAAAUAUCUGUAGUGAAUUUGAUUCCUGAUUUACUCGGUUGAACCACAAAAUCUUCAAAUCGAAGCCUAAUUCAAGUACUUUCAAGUAUUGUUUCAACUUGAGAUAUAAUUCAGGUACUACUGAUUGUUUCGGUUUGAUAAGAAUCUUAUCAAUGUCAUGGUAACACCGCUAAACGGUGGUUGAAGCUUCGCACCUAUGGCAUGGUAACAAAAAAUAAGAAAAAGAACAAUCAUGGAAGGUUUACGAUCCCUUUCUUCGAAGGGGAAAAUAUGAAAGACCUGUGCUAUUAUAAUUUGUUAUGAAAAAUUUUGGUUUUGACUGACUGUAGAAGAGUCGUGCCAUGUAGAAUUUUUACAUUUCUUGUCCAAGUCUAACGAUAAGAAUUUUUCAAUAUGAAAACGAUAUAUACCAGUAAUGAAAGGAAAGGUCAGCAAAAAGCAUAAAUGCUGAUACUACUUUCCAGUUUUUAUAGUAUAUAAAAACAUAUCCUCCAACUUCGUAUUCAAGUGUAUAAGAAAAGUGUAUAUUUUCCUCAUUAUAUAUCAGUAUCAGUUCAUAAUUGAUUAACUAAUCAAAUGGAAAUUAUGGUUGGUGAUCCCAUUCCUCUUCUUACUCCUUACAAGAUGGGCAAAUUCAAUCUAUCUCAUAGGUAUAUAAUAUGUUUUAAUUCCAUUUAUUAUGCUUGCUUCAAACAUAUAUAAAGUUGUUUAAAAUAUUCACUACUCAUCCUAUUCAUUUGAUUUUAGAGUAGUUUUGGCACCGUUGACCAGACAAAGAUCAUACAACAACAUUCCUCAACAGCAUGCUGUCCUAUAUUACUCUCAAAGGGCCUCUGAAGGUGGUCUUCUCAUAUCUGAAGCUACCGGGGUCUCUGAAACUGCUCAAGGGUAACUUGCAAUUAAUACAAACCAAUUUCAUAACUAUCUUUAACAAACUUCAACUAAUUAAUUCUAAUGUUAUAUAUGUGAAGGUCUUCAAACACACCUGGCAUAUGGACAAAAGAGCAAGUCGAAGCGUGGAAACCUAUCGUGGAUGCUGUUCAUGCCAAAGGUGCUACAUUCUUCGAUCAAAUUUGGCUUGUUGGUAGGGUUUCUAAUUCUGGUAUGCAUUUAGUUUAAUCAAAUUAGCAAUUAACUAACAAAUUUUUUGAUUUUUCAGUAUUUUUUUAGGUAGGAAUUGAAUUUUUGUUACAGAAUGAUAUUGAUUUAUGUUCACUAGUUUAAUUACAAAUUUACAUGUAUGUAUUCUACACAUUUAUUAUACACAUGUAAUAUUGUAUUCUCAUUUUCCAUAUAAUUCUAACCAGUUUAUCAACCAAAUGGACAAGCACCAAUAUCUUCUACAGACAAACUACUCACACCACGAAUUGGAGGCAAUGGUAUUGAAAUAUCACAAUUCACACCACCAAGGAGGCUAAGAUCAGAAGAAAUUCCUAAUAUUGUCAAUGACUUUAGACUUGCUGCAAGAAAUGCUAUUGAAGCUGGUAACUUCACCUAUCUUUACCAAUCUCUCCAAAAAUUCAAAAUGCUUCAAUAUAAGAGAGGCCGGAAUAACAACAUAAACUAAAUACGAAGAAAAAAAUCACAAAAUCCGAUGUCUCUAAGUUUUCAUCGUUAUUUUAACAUUUUAUAUCAGGAAGGCAUUUUGUGUACUAAUUAUGGUGCGCAUUGUAGUUUUGAUGGGGUUGAAAUUCGUGGGGCUACUGGAUACCUACUUGAGCAAUUCAUGAAAGAUAAAGUGAAUGACAGAACAGAUGAAUAUGGUGGAACUCUUGAAAACCGUUGUAAAUUUGUUUUGGAAAUUGUUGAAGCUGUUGUAAAUGAGAUUGGUGCCGAAAGAGUUGGAAUAAAACUAUCACCUUUUUCAGAUUUCGAAGAAUGUGGAGACUCAAAUCCGAAGGCAUUGGGGCUUUACAUGGUUAAUGCCCUCAAUAAAUAUGGUAUUCUGUAUUGUCAUAUGGUAGAAUGAAUAAGUAAUGAAACUAUUGAUGAUAAAACAAAAUGUCUUCACAACUUGGUGCCAGUGAGAAAGGCUUUCAAUGGCACUUUCAUGGUUACCGGAAGCUAUGAAAGACUAGACGGGAUCAAUGCUAUAGCUGAAAAUAGGGUAGAUCUUGUUGCUUACGACCGUUUAUUCAUAGCUAAUCCAGAUUUGCCAAAGAGAUUUGCACUUAAUGCUCCCCUAAACAAGUAUAAUAUGGAGACAUUCUGCACUUCUGAUCCAGUUCUUGGUUAUACCGACUACCCUUUUCUUGAAUGAAUAAACAUAUGUUGUACUUGUAGCAUGUAAGGGUGGCCACAUUUUUGCAAUAAAGUUGGUAAUUGAAUGUUUGAAUUGAUGGUGGAUUUUCAGAAUCAUAAUGAAUAAUCGUGAUUCAGAUAAAAACUACACUUUUUAAUAUCAACUAAAUCACGGUGUUGUCACAAUUUGACCUAACUCACCGCACAUUUCAACAUGCAUUUGGCCCUUAUAUAGCCUUUUACACACUUUCUUACACUACAAGUAAACUUCUAAUUGCAAUGAAUCCUAAUAAAAUCCUCCCCUAAACUGAAUACUGCUAUAGCAGAUCAGUUUACACAAGCAACAACAAAUCAAUCUAGGAGGAUUCACGUAGUGGUAAAAAGAAACAUAGAAUAUGUUCUUACUGUGAGGAAAAAUGAUUGUACAUUCAUUGAAAUGUGAAAUACAAAGAAUGAUACUUAUUUAUAGUAAAGUAUCUAAGUAAUUAGAGUUGUCUUGCAUUGCAAGUAACCUCUACUAAACAAGCCCUAAUUACACUAAAACAUUAUUGAAACUUAAGCACAAAAUAUAAACCUUCUAACACUUACAUCACAUGAGUCAAAUUGGACUGCUAAUUAAGGUCAAAGGCAAGAAUGCAACGUAACAGCAAACGUUAGCAAGAGCCAAGAAGCAUAAAGGCCCACAACCUCUUUCAUAGCCAUAUUAUUUCAACAUCAAAAUAAGUGCAGUACUAUACUAGGGUUCACACUUCAACCUUACACACAUAAUACAAUGUCCUAUCAAUUGAUUUAAGUUCAUGUAUCAAAAAACUAACACUUUACAUGUUUAUUUUUAUUUCUCUCUUGCUUUUUAUCUUUAAAUUUUUACACAUAUUUUAAAAUAUACUCGACACAAUCCUGUAUUUGAUAACAAUAUUUUUAUACUCAAUCAUUUUUCGUCAAGUUUUAGUAUAAUAUAUUUCAUUUACUUUGGUUACUUCAAAGUUCAAACAUAUAAAAUUGUUUAAAAUAUCCACUAACCCUGUGUGUCUAUGUCUAAUAAUAUAUUAAUUUUAAUUUUAGAGUACUUUUGGCACCAUUGACCAGACAAAAAUAGUAAUAGUACAACAACGUUCCUAAAAAACAUGACAUCCUCUAUUACUCUCAAAGGUCCUUUAAAGUCGGUCUUCUCAUAGCAGAAGCAGCCGGGGUCUCUGAAACUUGCUAACAACACUCUUCAAUUUCUUUAUUCCUCUUCAUGCUUUGAUCAAGACAAAGAUUAGUCUUAUAAGCCAAUUCCAUCGCUUUCAUACCUUAAAACUCAAAUCCAUCGCUUUCAUAUAGCCGGCUAAAUUGUUUUUAAUUACGCAAUCACGUUACCAAGAUGAAGCACAAACGUGGAGAUUUGACUUUUCACAACUUACUUAUCAAUAAGACAAAAAAGAAUAUCCACUUCCGGAACAUAUCAUAUAAAGUAAGUAGUGAUGUUCAAAAUGAAACAAACCCAAUAUAAAAAUUGCAAAUCAAACUAAUCUAAAUCGAAAUUGCAAAAAACUGCAUUUGAUUUGGAUGUAUUUUGAUCACUUUCUUACUUAACUACAUGGUUUGGUUUGGUUUGGAUUUUAUUUCAAAAGUCAAUCGGACCAAACCAAACCGCAUGUUUUUUUAUCUUAUGUUUGGAUGAUUUUUAUUCUCAAAGCCGAACCAAACCAAACCGCGAACCGCUGGUAUAAAUAUAGAUCCACCAAACGAACUCCCUUCAACUUGAACCGCAUAUUUUUCAUCAAAAGAGGGAGAAAAAAAAUUGAACUUCAUAUUUUGCCUUUUGAACUGUUAGUGAUCAUUGUAAUUUAUUUAAAUGGGUAUCAAAAUGGAAGGUACUAACAUCACUGAUCCAAUUCCUCUUCUUACACAUUACAAGAUGGGCAAAUUCAAUCUAGCUCAUAGGUACAUAGUAUUUCUCUUGCUAUUAGAAUUCAUUUCAAUGUUUUUCUCUUGCUAAAUAAUUUCACAUAAUUUCAGAGUUGUUUUGGCACCGCUAACAAGAAUGAGAUCAUACAACAAUGUUCCUCAAACCAUUGCUGUCGAGUAUUAUUCUCAGAGAACCUCUAAAGGAGGCCUUCUCAUAGCUGAAGCUACUGGUGUCUCAGACACUGCUCAAGGCUAUCCAAACACGCCAGGUAUAUGGACUAAAGAGCAUGUUGAGGCGUGGAAACCUAUUGUAAAUGCGGUUCAUGAUAAAGGCGGUAUAUUUUUCUGUCAAAUUUGGCAUGCUGGAAGGGUUUCAAAUUCAGGUAUGUAUCUAUUUCGUCAUAUCAUUAUUUAUUAUGUAAAUAAAUGUGACCGGAAGGUCUAACCAUCUGUGUCAACCUCAAUUGGCUAAGAUCAUCAAUUUUUAACAUAGACCUAGCAUAAUUUUAGCAUUACCUAGCUCAAAUAUAACAUGCUCAAAGGCGGUAUAUUUUUCUGUCAAAUUUGGCAUGUUGGAAGAGUUUCAAAUUCAGCUAUUUAUUUAUUUGCUCUAAUCAUUAGUAUUUUUUUUUUCCUUUGAUAAAAAUAAAAUUUUGAUUAGGUGACACACUUCCAAUUCAAAACUGGUGUGAACGGAAUGUUUAACUAUAUGUGCCUACACCAAUUGGUUCAAAUCAUCAGCUUUUAUUUAACAUAGACCUAUUAUGAGUUUAACAGGCCGUGUGUUAUUUUUUCUAGUCAUUUUUUUUGUCAAAAAUACAAAAUUUGAAGCAAUUUGUUGAAGAAAGUAGUAAUGGAAAAUAGAAUACUCACUCACUGUAUGUUCAUGUUCCUUCCUUGUUAACCCAACAGUUUAUCAGCCGAAUGGACAAGCACCGAUAUCUUCUACAAACAAGUCACUCACAAGCGAUGAUGUACAACAAUUCACGAAACCGAAACCGAGAACAAUUGCACUUUUGGACCCCUAUCUUUCCAAAAGUUGCGGUUAUGGACCCUUAACUAAUUUAAAUACAAAACAGCCCCCUAUGUUUUGAUUCUUUGGCAGUUUUAGACCAGAUAUAUGGCUGCUUCUUCGAUGACCAAGAUAUAGCACCUGAACCAAACAUGAAGACAUAGCCUGAAGUAGAUCUCCUCCAUAGUCAGAAUUUGACCAUCCCUAAUUAAGUACUCUCUUAGUUGCAACUAAUUGUAUUUCAGUUGGUCUAUAUAUAGAUAUAUAGCUAUCAGAAACAUUGAGAAUGUGAGAUCAGACAUAGUAUAAAUUAAAUACAUUAGGCACCCCACCAUCUGCUUAUACUUUGUUGUGUCCAC